ACGUCGUAGCUUUGACGUCAAAAUAUGUUAGUACAUUUGCUGCAGGUAGGUCUAAGGUAGCCCUAUUUUUCUACGAAUACACGUCACUAUAGUCUGAUAUUUGACAUAUCGUCGA